rnacentral:rRNA from 1 species
GAUGAACGCUGGCGGCGUGCCUAAUACAUGCAAGUCGAGCGAACAGACGAGGAGCUUGCUCCUCUGACGUUAGCGGCGGACGGGUGAGUAACACGUGGAUAACCUACCUAUAAGACUGGGAUAACUUCGGGAAACCGGAGCUAAUACCGGAUAAUAUAUUGAACCGCAUGGUUCAAUAGUGAAAGACGGUUUUGCUGUCACUUAUAGAUGGAUCCGCGCCGCAUUAGCUAGUUGGUAAGGUAAAGGCUUACCAAGGCAACGAUGCGUAGCCGACCUGAGAGGGUGAUCGGCCACACUGGAACUGAGACACGGUCCAGACUCCUACGGGAGGCAGCAGUAGGGAAUCUUCCGCAAAGGGCGAAAGCCUGACGGAGCAACGCCGCGUGAGUGAUGAAGGUCUUCGGAUCGUAAAACUCUGUUAUUAGGGAAGAACAAAUGUGUAAGUAACUAUGCACGUCUUGACGGUACCUAAUCAGAAAGCCACGGCUAACUACGUG